CGUCCGCGACGUCGAGUAGAUCACUAUGGUAUAUUCAUAUACCCAAAUUGAGCAAUGUAUGAGAAGUUAUUAGCUAGUUUGGUCUAUAUGCUUUAAAAUAAUGUUUUUAUAGUUAAUUCCCAUAUAGGUGAGACUUAUUCCGAGGACGAGCGUAUCCACGGGCGACUUGGGGGCUACGACUCGUCGACAUACCAGUGAGUGGGCUUUUGUUUUCAGUAUAUAAUUAUAUACUUGAUAUAUUUCCCAGAAAUGUGUUUUAAAUGAAAGUAUGCUUUGAAAUAAUAUGCCAAAUGCCUUUAUAUUCUGAAUAUAUAUUUCAUAGUUGCAUAUAUAUAUAGUUGUGGUGCUGUGGAGGCACAUGUAAGUUCAGGUAGUUAAGUUUGAUUAUGUGAACUACGAACGGCUUGAUCCCUGUUUAGGGUACGUAGGUAGCCUAACGAAAUGUUAAGUGCAGCCAUAAAAUAUAUGACAUGAAAUAAAUGAGAUAUAAGUUUAUUUGAAGAAUAUAGUAGCUUGAUGAACAUGUUUGGUUGGAUCUGAGAUGUGACUGAGAAACGAUGAGCUCAUCAACCUGCACCUCAGGUGAUUGCGAUUUCAUUAGAGAGAGUUGGCACAGGCCUGUAAAUUAUGUUACCUCCCGCACCAUAUGCUCACAUUGGAUCCAAUUAGGUGCACAAUCUUGUCGUACUGACUACUAUAGUUGGUUCAGACUUAUAGGUGACUAACGUAUUAUCGCACAGCUAGUAUUGAGAAAGUAAAAUUGAGCAUAACUGUAUCUCACCCAACCUUGUCGUACAUACCCUUUUUAGUGGUUUCGACUUAUGUGCAAUAUAUUGCCGUAUAGGUCAUAAUAGUGACUCCGGCUAGAUUGAGUUGAGCUAUGAAUUCAGCCGUACAAACUACUGAGGAGUUCCGGCUAACAUGUCAUACUUCUAUGAAAUCAUUAUUACCUGGAUUAUUACGUAUUAUAUUUUGGCAUGGCAUACAUAUGAAAAUGAUUAUGUGAAGCAUGAAUUGAAUGGUUAUGAUUUCAGAUAUAUAUAUAUGUAUAUAUGCUUACAUCUUGAUUUUGGGAAAAUAAUACAUGUUUUAUAGCGAGAGGUUAGUUAUGUUAAUAAAUGAAAUGGUUUUGUAAAACAUUUGUUUUUGCCCACUCACGUUUUCUGUUUUGCGCCCCUCCAGGUUUUAAGUAAGAUUGUUGUUGGUGGCUAGAGGACGUCGGCAGUUCUGACUCAUCCAUAUAAUAGUAGGACAUUCCUGGUACUGUAUAACUAGUACUUGUCCUACUGGACUGCACAUAGACUUUAUGUUCUGACUAGGAGUGUUACUGUUGUACUAUACUCCUAUCACUUUAUGUUUAGAAGUGCACUCUAGUAAUCUGGUUUUUAAUUGUUCGUAUAUUUGCUAUCUUUAUCGCUUUCGCACUGUGCACAUGACUACGUCACUCUCACGUGACGGCUAGCAUGUCUUGACCUCGGUCGGGGUGUGUCAUUUAGGGUUAGGAUAAUUUGAUGAGAGGUUUAUCAUUGUACCCGGAACAUGAAACGAAAUACCAUACGUCAUUAAACAAUUGAAGAACUUUUUUUUUAAGUACCUUCAAUUAUAUAAUAACAUAUGAUGUUCCGACUAGGAAACCUAAAAAUCUCUCUAAUUUUAGGAGUAAAAACCGUCAAAGCGCAUGUAAUUUUAGGAUAAUUUUAAGAAUUUACACCAUUGAGCUAUUUGUUGUCUCAACAAAUACAAUUUAGCUCCGUCACUGGUCACACUGAUAAUAAACGGCAGACAUUAUUAAGUGAGGGUUGGAAUAUUAUAUUGGAACUAAGAAGGAUAUUUUUACACGAAAUAAUUUUUGUCACUAUAAUAUUUUAGUAAUCGACAAUAUCUGAAAAAUUCUAUCAAAGCACAAAUAAGUUAAGUGAGUAGUCCACACUUUAUUGUAUUAUUACUAUGGUAUUAUACAACACUACAUGAGCAUUUAGAUGAUACAUGAAUCUUCUUCUUUUUUUAUUUUUUAUUUUUUUAUAAAUUAAUAUUUUAGGCUUCUUCUGAAAAGUGGUUAAUUUUUCUUAAGUGUGGUCAAGUUUAUCUCUGCAUAUCAUAAAUCGGGGAUUGAAGUAUGGACUAUGAACAAUAUCAAUAAUAUGAACGAUGAACCACAAGUUGGUGGUCUAAUGAUAGAGGUGGAUUACGAGAAUUUCUUCAAAUUA
rnacentral:lncRNA from 1 species